rnacentral:rRNA from 1 species
UCGAACGGUGAAGAGGAGCUUGCUCCUCGGAACAGUGGCGGACGGGUGAGUAACACGUGAGCAACCUGGCUCUAAGAGGGGGACAACAGUUGGAAACGACUGCUAAUACCGCAUAACGUAUCGGGAUGGCAUCUUCCUGAUACCAAAGAUUUUAUCGCUUAGAGAUGGGCUCGCGUCUGAUUAGAUAGUUGGCAGGGUAACGGCCUACCAAGGCAACGAUCAGUAGCCGACCUGAGAGGGUGACCGGCCACAUUGGGACUGAGACACGGCCCAGACUCCUACGGGAGGCAGCAGUGGGGGAUAUUGCGCAAUGGGGGCAACCCUGACGCAGCAACGCCGCGUGAAGGAUGAAGGUUUUCGGAUUGUAAACUUCUUUUAUUAAGGACGAAAAAUGACGGUACUUAAUGAAUAAGCUCCGGCUAACUACGUG